GGCGCUGCCUGGUCCCGGCGUGGCCGUAUCGUGCGGCCUCAGGACACGGCCGUUCGCAGGAGACCCUGACGGAGAGACGACAGCCUGGCGAUGGCAGGAACUUCCCGGAUAGCCAGGCGGCCUUCCUUGGCGCUCCGUGUGGAUCCUCCCCAGCGGGCAUCCGAGAGCUGAGUCAAAGGCUAUGACCCGCAGAGGGGAUGAAAGCCGGGUGCCGGCUCGGGGCGGUUCAGGCUGUGGCCCCUUAGGCCGCACGGUGGGAGAGCCUCACUUUUGUUCACAGUGCUGAGGUGUGCAGGACAGAGCAGCCUCUGGGCGCGUCGUGUCACUCGUCCAUCGUGCCUUCUGUGUCUUUUGUGCCUCCUGUGUUGUAUGUGCCUUCCCUUAUCCCUUCUGGGGGCUUACCAGAAACCCCAGCAACACUUAUAACAUCUCCAAUCUCUGGGCUCCUCGGCUCGGCAGCUCUCAGAGGCCUUGGAAUCGCGUCUCUUUUGACAAGCAUCCGAUUGGAUGUCUUUUAGACCUCUUGUUCCGAGCUGUGUCAACAGCCGUGCGCCGCGAGGAUCCAUUGUUGCGGCUUAGGACUUGAAGAAACGCAAAGAUAGGUAGAGGAUUGCGGCCAUAAGAUUCUUGGGCCUCCGUCUUGGCGGUUCCUGGAGUUUGUCAUUCUGUCAGCAUCUUCUUCCUCCCGGGUUCUGCGAGCUUCAUCAGCUCGCCUUCAUUCUCACCCGGCUCAUCUCAUUCCGCAUUCUCUCAGUCCUUGUGGCCGUCCUUGUGGCCCAGACUUUUGUCUCCCCAUUGUGUCCCCUCGUCCGUUGUGUGGUGUGUCACGGGUGUCUGGGUGUAGUUGUCCCGGAGCUGCUCUGCCCUGCUGCCCAGCCUGGCUGUAGGUGUAAAAGGCCAAGUCCCAGGCCCCUGUAAUUUGAAAUUUGUGACGUAGGUUUUACUUUGGUGUCUAGAGGCUUUUCCUAGGUCAACACAAGAUGUCUGCAUCUGUGAAGUUAUCCUGCAGUGCUUUGAGUUGUGUCUUAGCUUCCUAAGCAUUUUAUUAUUUGCUGCCGAAUGUGGGGUUCAGAAGAAUAAGAAAACCUAUGCUGAUUAUGUUGCAUUGGUCCUUACUGUGUGCUGGGAUAAAGGACUUUGUAAUGGUGUUACUUAAGUUCA